ACGAACUGUGCGAACGUUAUUCGGAAUCACUGGGCUUAAAGGGUGCGUAGGCGGUCCUGUAGGUCAGAUGUGAAAUCCCACGGCUCAACCGUGGAAUUGCGUUUGAAACCACAGGACUUGAGUAAGAUAGAGGUAAGCGGAACUGAUGGUGGAGCGGUGAAAUGCGUUGAUAUCAUCAGGAACACCGGUGGCGAAAGCGGCUUACUGGGUCUUUACUGACGCUGAGGCACGAAAGCUAGGGGAGCGAACGGG
rnacentral:rRNA from 1 species